CUUCGUCGAGCCCCGGCUUCAGGUGCGCGGCGAGGUGGAUGCCGGCGGUCGGCGCGAUCGUGUCGAACCACGGUGCGAGGCCGCCGCGUAGA
rnacentral:tRNA from 1 species